ACAAACUUGGUCAUUUAGAGGAAGUAAAAGUCGUAACAAGGUCUCCGUUGGUGAACCAGCGGAGGGAUCAUUACCGAGUUUACAACUCCCAACCCUUUGUGAACCUUACCUACCGUUGCUUCGGCGGACCGCCCCGGGUGCUGCGUGCCCCGGACCCAGGCGCCCGCCGGGGACCAACCAAACCCUGUUUCUUAAACAUGUGUAUCAUCUGAGCGAGCCGAAAGGCAACAAACAAUCAAAACUUUCAACAACGGAUCUCUUGGUUCUGGCAUCGAUGAAGAACGCAGC
rnacentral:misc_RNA from 1 species